AUGAACGCUGGCGGCGUGCCUAAUACAUGCAAGUCGAACGGUAAGGCUCUCACUCUGUACUCAAUUUCUUGAGUGUGGUGUGAGAGUACACGAGUGGCGGACGGCUGAGUAACACGUAGGAACGUACCCCAAACUGAGGGAUAACUGCUCGAAAGAGUAGCUAAUACCGCAUGUGGUCUUCGGAUUAAAGCUUCGGCGGUUUGGGAACGGCCUGCGCAUGAUUAGCUAGUUGGUGAGGUAAUGGCUCACCAAGGCGACGAUCAUUAGCUGGUCUGAGAGGAUGAUCAGCCAGACUGGGACUGAGACACGGCCCAGACUCCUACGGGAGGCAGCAGUAGGGAAUUUUCCACAAUGGGGGCAACCCUGAUGGAGCAACGCCGCGUGCAGGAUGAAGGCCUUCGGGUUGUAAACUGCUUUUAUCUGUGACGAUUUUGACGGUAGCAGAUGAAUAAGGAUCGGCUAACUCCGUGCCAGCAGCCGCGGUCAUACGGAGGAUCCAAGCGUUAUCCGGAAUUACUGGGCGUAAAGAGUUGCGUAGGUGGCAUAGCAAGUAGAUAGUGAAAGCGUGUGGCUCAACCAUAUACACAUUAUCUAAACUGCUAAGCUAGAGUAUAUGAGAGGUAGCUGGAAUUUCUAGUGUAGGAGUGAAAUCCGUAGAUAUUAGAAGGAACACCAAUGGCGUAGGCAGGCUACUGGCAUAUUACUGACACUAAGGCACGAAAGCAUGGGGAGCGAACAGGAUUAGAUACCCUGGUAGUCCAUGCCGUAAACGAUGGAUGCUAGCUGUGUGGCGUAUCGACCCGCUGCGUAGCGAAGCUAACGCAUUAAGCAUCCCGCCUGUGGAGUACGAGCGCAAGCUUAAAACAUAAAGGAAUUGACGGGGACCCGCACAAGCGGUGGAGCGUGUUGUUUAAUUCGAUGAUAAGCGAAGAACCUUACCCAGGUUUGACAUCCUACUAAUUUCUCCGAAAGGAGAGAGUGCCUUCGGGCCGUAGUGACAGGUGAUGCAUGGCCGUCGUCAGCUCGUGUCGUGAGAUGUUUGGUUAAGUCCAUCAACGAGCGCAACCCUUAUAGUUAGUUGGAUUUCUCUAGCUAGACUGCCCUGGCAACAGGGAGGAAGGAGGGGAUGAUGUCAGGUCAGUAUUUCCCUUACAUCUGGGGCUACAAACACGCUACAAUGGCCGGUACAAAGGGCAGCCAACCCGCAAGGGGGAGCAAAUCCCAUCAAAGCCGGUCUCAGUUCGGAUAGCAGGCUGAAACUCGCCUGCUUGAAGUCGGAAUCGCUAGUAACGGUAGGUCAGCACACUACCGUGAAUACGUUCCCGGGUCUUGCACACACCGC
rnacentral:rRNA from 1 species